rnacentral:tRNA from 1 species
CCCGCCAUAGUUUAUGUAAAACAUCGACCUGCAAAAUCGAGGAAGGAAGAAGUUUCCUGGUGUGU